GCCGGGCACAGUGGCACAUGCCUAUAGUCCCAACUACUCGGGAGGCUGAGGCUGGAGGAUCUCUUGAGCCCAGGAGUUCUGGGCUGUCGCAUGCUGUGCUGAUCAGGUGUCCGCACUAAGUUCGGCAUCAAUAUGGUGACCUCCUGGGAGCAGGGAACCAGCAGGUGAACCGGGCCAGGUUGGAAAUGGAGCAGGUUAAAACUCCUGUGCUAAUCAGUAGUGGUAUUGUACCUGUGAAUAGCCACUGCACUCCAGCCUGGGCAACAUAGCGAGACCCCGUCUCU
rnacentral:SRP_RNA from 1 species